rnacentral:rRNA from 1 species
GAUGAACGCUGGCGGCGUGCCUAAUACAUGCAAGUCGAGCGAACAGACGAGGAGCUUGCUCCUCUGACGUUAGCGGCGGACGGGUGAGUAACACGUGGAUAACCUACCUAUAAGACUGGGAUAACUUCGGGAAACCGGUGCUAAUACCGGAUAAUAUAUUGAACCGCAUGGUUCAAUAGUGAAAGAUGGUUUUGCUGUCACUUAUAGAUGGAUCCGCGCCGCAUUAGCUAGUUGGUAAGGUAACGGCUUACCAAGGCAACGAUGCGUAGCCGACCUGAGAGGGUGAUCGGCCACACUGGAACUGAGACACGGUCCAGACUCCUACGGGAGGCAGCAGUAGGGAAUCUUCCGCAAUGGGCGAAAGCCUGACGGAGCAACGCCGCGUGAGUGAUGAAGGUCUUCGGAUCGUAAAACUCUGUUAUUAGGGAAGAACAAAUGUGUAAGUAACUAUGCACGUCUUGACGGUACCUAAUCAGAAAGCCACGGCUAACUACGUG